rnacentral:misc_RNA from 1 species
GAUGAAGAACGCAGCGAAAUGCGAUAAGUAAUGUGAAUUGCAGAAUUCAGUGAAUCAUCGAAUCUUUGAACGCACAUUGCGCCCGCUAGUAUUCUGGCGGGCAUGCCUGUCCGAGCGUCAUUUCAACCCUCAAGCCCCCGGGCUUGGUGUUGGGGAUCGGCGAGCCUCCGCGCCCGCCGUCCCCUAAAUCUAGUGGCGGUCGCGCUGUAGCUUCCUCUGCGUAGUAGCACACCUCGCACUGGGAAACAGCGCGGCCACGCCGUUAAACCCCCAACUUCUGAACGUUUGACCUCGGAUCAGGUAGGAAUACCCGCUGAACUUAAGCAUAUCAAUAAGCGGAGGA